AAAGAAACUAACAAGGAUUCCCUUAGUAACUGCGAGUGAAGAGGGAAGAGCUCAAAUUUAAAAUCUGGCAGUGUUUUGCUGUCCGAGUUGUAAUCUAGAGAAGUGCUGCCCGUGCUGGACCAUGUACAAGUCUCCUGGAAUGGAGCGUCACAGAGGGUGAGAAUCCCGUCUUUGACAUGGACUACCAGUGCAUUUGUGGUGUGCUCUCAAAGAGUCGAGUUGUUUGGGAAUGCAGCUCUAAAUGGGUGGUAAACUCCAUCUAAAGCUAAAUAUUGGCGAGAGACCGAUAGUGAACAAGUACCGUGAGGGAAAGAUGAAAAGAACUUUGGAAAGAGAGUUAAACAGUAUGUGAAAUUGUUGAAAGGGAAACGCUUAAAGUCAGUCGUGUCGGCCAGGGAUCAACUCAGCUUUCUCUGCUGGGUGUACUUCCUGAUCUGAUGGGCCAACAUCAGUUUUGACUGCUGGAGAAGGGCAGAGGGAAUGUGGCACCUUCGGGUGUGUUAUAGCUCUCUGUCAGAUGCAGUGGUUGGGACUGAGGAAAGCAGCAUGCCGCAAGGCCGGGUCGUUUCGACCACGUUCAUUGCUGAGGAUGUUGGCAUAAUGGCUUUAAUCGACCCGUCUUGA
rnacentral:rRNA from 1 species